CAUCGUGCGGAGGCCGCUGGGCGGUGCAUCAGCCUCUCAGUUGCUGUCCUUUACUGAGCGCGACGGCGACGCUUCGUCCCUGUCGGUUGGUGGCGGUGAUCCUCUCUCGGAG
rnacentral:SRP_RNA from 1 species